rnacentral:rRNA from 1 species
GACGAACGCUGGCGGCGUGCUUAACACAUGCAAGUCGAACGGCAAGGCCCUGCUUUUGUGGGGUGCUCGAGUGGCGAACGGGUGAGUAACACGUGAGUAACCUGCCCUUGACUUUGGGAUAACUUCAGGAAACUGGGGCUAAUACCGGAUAGGAGCUCCUGCUGCAUGGUGGGGGUUGGAACGUUUCGGCGGUUGGGGAUGGACUGGGGGCUUAUCAGCUUGUUGGUGGGGUAGUGGCUUACCAAGGCUUUGACGGGUAGCCGGCCUGAGAGGGUGACCGGCCACAUGAGGACUGAGGGACGGCGCAGAGGGCUACGGUGGGCAGCAGUGGGGAAUAUGGCACAAUGAGCGGAAGCGUGAUGAAGCGACGCCGCGGGCGGGAUGACGGCCUGCGGGGUGUAAACCGCUUUCGCCUGAGACGAAGCGUGAGUGACGGUAAUGGAUAAAGAAGCACCGGCUAACUACGUG